GUGUUACCUCGUGUUUCACAUAUACUAAAAUUGGAACGAUACAGAGAAGAUUAGCAAUGGCCCUCGCGCAGAGAUGACACGCAAACUCGUGAAGCGUUCUAAAUUUUA